GAAAUGCGAUAAGUAGUGUGAAUUGCAGAAUUCAGUGUAUCAUCGAAUCUUUGAACGCACAUUGCGCCCUUUGGUAUUCCAAAGGGCAUGCCUGUUCGAGCGUCAUUUGUACCCUCAAGCUUUGCUUGGUGUUGGGCGUCUUGUCUCCAGUUCGCUGGAGACUCGCCUUAAAGUAAUUGGCAGCCGGCCUACUGGUUUCGGAGCGCAGCACAAGUCGCGCUCUCUUCCAGCCAAGGUCAGCAUCCACAAAGCCUUUUUUCAACUUUUGACCUCGGAUCAGGUAGGGAUACCCGCUGAACUUAAGC
rnacentral:misc_RNA from 1 species